AUGGGCACCUCCACCACGGCCCCAUCGGUGUUCCCACUGGCCCCCAGGUGCGAGACCACACCCUGCUCCACAGUGGUCCUGGCCUGCCUGGUGUCCGGCUACUUCCCCGAGCCUGUGACUAUGUCCUGGAACUCCGGCUCCCUGACCAGUGGUGUGCACACCUUCCCGUCCGUCCUGCAGUCCUCAGGGCUCUACUCUCUCAGCAGCAUGGUGACAGUGCCCUCCAGCAGGUGGCCCAGUGACACCUUCAUCUGCACCGUGGCCCACCCGGCCAGUAAGACCAAGGUGGACAAGCCAGGAACCGGGUGCAUCCGUUCAUGCCGCUCGGCCUGCUGCCAGGCCCGCUCUCUGCCCUCCCCCGUGCCACCCUCUGACCUCACAGCCACCCUGGGCCUGCACCUCCACCCUCGGCUCGUGGACGCCGUGGGCUGCAUCUUCCCCCUGAACCCCCGUUUGGAGACUCAACCAUCCCCCAUCCAGAGGACCAUCUCCAAGGCCAGAGGGCAGGCCCAUCAGCCCAAUGUGUACAUCCUGCCCCCGUCCCCGAAGGAGAUGGCAUCCAAGAGCACAGUCAGCGUGACCUGCCUGGUCAAAGACUUCUACCCACCUGACCUUGAUCUGGAGUGGCUGAGCCAAGGAAAGGAAGAGCCAGAGAGCAAUAUCCGAACAACCCUGCCCCAGCUGGACGCAGAUGGGACCUACUUCCUCUACAGCAAGCUCUCGGUGAAUAAGGACCGCUGGCAGCGUGGAGAAUCCUUCUCAUGUGCGGUAUUGCAUGAAGCUCUACACAACCACCACACAGAGCUAUCCCUCUCCCAGUCUCCGGGUAAAUGA